UACGGAGGGUGCGAGCGUUAAUCGGAAUUACUGGGCGUAAAGCGUGCGUAGGCGGAUUAUUAAGCAAGAUGUGAAAGCCCUGGGCUCAACCUGGGAACUGCAUUUUGAACUGGUAGUCUAGAGUAUUGUAGAGGGUGGUGGAAUUUCCAGUGUAGCGGUGAAAUGCGUAGAGAUUGGAAGGAACAUCAGUGGCGAAGGCGGCCACCUGGACAAAUACUGACGCUGAGGCACGAAAGCGUGGGGAGCGAAC
rnacentral:rRNA from 1 species